rnacentral:rRNA from 1 species
GAUGUGUAGGUGCUGCAUGGUUGUCGUCAGCUCGUGCCGUGAGGUGUCGGCUUAAGUGCCAUAACGAGCGCAACCCUCAUCAUUAGUUACCAUCAGGUAAGGCUGGGGACUCUAAUGAGACUGCCAUCGUAAGAUGUGAGGAAGGUGGGGAUGACGUCAAAUCAGCACGGCCCUUACGUCCGGGGCGACACACGUGUUACAAUGGGUGGUACAAAGGGCAGCUACCUGGCGACAGGAUGCUAAUCUCGAAAACCGCUCUCAGUUCGGAUCGGAGUCUGCAACUCGACUCCGUGAAGCUGGAUUCGCUAGUAAUCGCGCAUCAGCCACGGCGCGGUGAAUACGUUCCCGGGCCUU